rnacentral:rRNA from 1 species
UACAGAGGUCUCGAGCGUUGUUCGGAUUCAUUGGGCGUAAAGGGUGCGUAGGUGGCGCUGUAAGUCGGGUGUGAAAUCUCGGGGCUUAACUCCGAAACUGCAUUCGAUACUGCGGUGCUUGAGGACUGGAGAGGAGACUGGAAUUCAUGGUGUAGCAGUGAAAUGCGUAGAGAUCAUGAGGAAGACCAGUGGCGAAGGCGGGUCUCUGGACAGUUCCUGACACUGAGACACGAAGGCCAGGGGAGCAAACGGG